rnacentral:rRNA from 1 species
ACGGCUCAGUAACACGUGGCUAAUCUGCCCUNNGGACCGGAACACCCCCGGGAAACUGGGGCUAAUUCUCGAUAGGUGAAGAACUCUGGAAUGAGUCUUUGCUAAAAAGACGUUUACGUUAUGCUCGUAGGCGUCGCCCAAGGAUGAGGCCGCGACCGAUCAGGUUGUUGGUGAGGUAAUGGCUCACCAAGCCUUUUACCGGUGCGGGCCGUGAGAGCGGGAGCCCGGAGAUGGGCACUGAGACAAGGGCCCAGGCCCUACGGGGCGCAGCAGUCGCGAAAACUUUGCAAUACACGAAAGUGUGACAGGGCUAUCCCGAGUGCCAUCCGCUGAGGAAGGCUUUUACCCAGUUUAGAACGCUGGGNNNNNNNCCCNNCNNNNCAAGUCUGGUGUCAGCCGCCGCGGUAAUACCAGCUCUCCGAGUGGUGUGGAUGUUUAUUGGGCCUAAAGCAUCCGUAGCUGGCUAAGUUAGUCCCUUGUUAAAUCCACCGAAUUAAUCGUUGGAUUGCGGGGGAUACUGCUUGGCUAGGGGACGAGAGAGGCAGACGGUAUUUCCGGGGUAGGGGUGAAAUCCUAUAAUCCCGGGAAGACCACCAGUGGCGAAGGCUGUCUGCUAGAACGCGCCCGACGGUGAGGGAUGAAAGCUGGGGGAGCGAACCGGAUUAGAUACCCGGGUAGUCCCAGCUGUAAACGAUGCAGGCUAGGUGUUUGGACGGCCACGUGCCGUUCUAGUGCCGCAGGGAAGCUGUUAAGCCUGCCGCCUGGGGAGUACGAUCGCAAGAUUGAAACUUAAAGGAAUUGGCGGGGGAGCAC